UCUCCGUUGGUGAACCAGCGGAGGGAUCACUACCGAGUUUACAACUCCCAAACCCCAUGUGAACCUCACCAAACGUUGCUUCGGCGGGAUGCCCCGGGCGCGGGCCGCAAGGCCUCAGCCCCGGAACCAGGCGCCCGCCGGAGGCCCAAACCAAACUCUUGUUUUUGUAGAAUCUUCUGAGUGGCCUUUUAGGCAAAAAAUGAAUCAAAACUUUCAACAACGGAUCUCUUGGUUCUG
rnacentral:misc_RNA from 1 species